AAGGAGAAAGCCGAAAAUCCUAAAAGAGUAGGCG
rnacentral:ncRNA from 1 species